rnacentral:rRNA from 1 species
AUUGAACGCUGGCGGUAUGCCUAACACAUGCAAGUCGAACGGCAGCACAGUAAGAGCUUGCUCUUACGGGUGGCGAGUGGCGGACGGGUGAGGAAUACAUCGGAAUCUACUUUUUCGUGGGGGGUAACGUAGGGAAACUUACGCUAAUACCGCAUACGACCUACGGGUGAAAGCAGGGGAUCUUCGGACCUUGCGCGAGUGAAUGAGCCGAUGUCGGAUUAGCUAGUUGGCGGGGUAAAGGCCCACCAAGGCGACGAUCCGUAGCUGGUCUGAGAGGAUGAUCAGCCAAACUGGAACUGAGACACGGUCCAGACUCCUACGGGAGGCAGCAGUGGGGAAUAUUGGACAAUGGGCGCAAGCCUGAUCCAGCCAUACCGCGUGGGUGAAGAAGGCCUUCGGGUUGUAAAGCCCUUUUGUUGGGAAAGAAAAGCAGCAGGUUAAUACCCCGCUGUUCUGACGGUAACCAAAGAAUAAGCAACGGCUAACUUCGUG